ACCUGGGGGUCCUGGUCAAUGGAAGUGCCUUGAGGCUCCCUUGGGGUUCUGAAAAAUUGGAAACAGAUGAGUUGUUGGGCCUGUAUCUGGGAAGGGGACCAGAGCACCUGAGCCCAGGAAAUGUGUGAUGGUGAGGAUUGAUGGAAGAGGUGAUGCUGUAGGCUCCUAAGAAAAGCCUGGUACUGCUGGUGGUGUGAAAUCGAGCUCAGAGGUUUGGGGAGCUCACGUCGGUGCAGUUUGGACAGAUCUGUGGACCAAAGGCACCAGGGAUUGCUCCUUGGAGAAGAUGUCUUAAUUCAUGAAGGUGCAGCUGCUCUGUGUCCACUUGGCUCACACGUUCCCCAGAGUAUCCUUGUUUCCUGUUCUCACCUUAGUAUAAUAGUGGUGACUAUUUCCUUGCCCAGUGAGUUCCAUUGCUUUACAAAAUGAGUGUCAGGUACGCAGUAGUAUGAGAAACCAUAAACAAACAAUCUGUCUCCAAGCCCAGGAAGAGUAAGGUUUUGCUAAAAGAGGUAAUUUAUCUUAACAAGUCAGGGAGAGAAACAUCCCCACAAGCUCAUCAUAUCAGCUGUGCCAUCAUACCACCUCAGCUUUCUAAUUCUGUAAUUUCUGAACUAUUUAGCUGCAUUGAAGACUGUUACCUCAAUUCCUAGGUUAUCUGUGUAGCCACAUUCUUCAAAGGUGGCAGUGAGUCAAGAAAGUAAUUAUAAUUUAGCAUUUGGAAAGUUGGCAUACACUUUUAUGUCAGCUUCCCUUUUUAGCUAAAUGCUGUUUCAAAACUCUUGCAAGUUAGACAUGGGUGAAAACAACUCAAAGGUUGGAGGAGCUUCUCAGACAGGAAUCAGCAGAAACAAAAAUCCUACUCUACCUCUGCACAGUACGAGCAAUAUUUAAAUAGUCCAGGCAUUUUCACAACAGUUGGAGUUGCAGAAAAUCUGUACUGAACACAGACCAUAAUCUUUGUAAUGGCAUUUAAAAUUCGCUGAGCACGUUGGCAGUUAGCCAGUUGUCUGACAAUAUUACAGGAAAGGGGUUAGGUCAGAAUGACCUAGACACAUCCAGGAAAACCAUCUCAAGGCAUUCUGCUUGGGAUGAUAAUUGUGAAACCUACAGCAAGGAGUGGAUCAUGUCAUAGCAGUGAACUGAGGACAGAACACCUGGGCCUAGGAGUGCUGCAAACAGGCAGAAGU